CCAGCACCCGCGGUAAUUCCAGCUCCAAUAGCGUAUAUUAAAGUUGUUGCAGUUAAAAAGCUCGUAGUUGGAUUUCUGGCAGGAGCGACCGGUCUCACACUCUGUGUGAGAACUCGUGUUGUCUCUGGCCAUCCUUGGGGAGAUCCUGUUUGGCAUUAAGUUGUCGGGCAGGGGAUACCCAUCGUUUACUGUGAAAAAAUUAGAGUGUUUAAAGCAGGCUUAUGCCGUUGAAUAUAUUAGCAUGGAAUAAUAAGAUAGGACUUUGGUACUAUUUUGUUGGUUUGUGCACCAGAGUAAUGAUUAAUAGGGACAGUUGGGGCUAUUCGUAUUCCAUUGUCAGAGGUGAAAUUCUUGGAUUUCUGGAAGACGAACUACUGCGAAAGCAUUUAGCAAGGAUGUUUUCAUUAAUCAAG
rnacentral:rRNA from 1 species